rnacentral:rRNA from 1 species
UACAGGGGGUGCAAACGUUGCUCGGAAUCAUUGGGCGUAAAGCGCACGUAGGCGGUCUGUUAUGUCGGAUGUGAAAUCCCUCGGCUCAACCAAGGAAGUGCAUCCGAAACUGCAAAGCUUGAGUACCAAAGAGGAUCGCGGAAUUCCCGGUGUAGAGGUGAAAUUCGUAGAUAUCGGGAGGAACACCAGUGGCGAAGGCGGCGAUCUGGGUGGAUACUGACGCUGAGGUGCGAAAGCGUGGGGAGCAAACAGG